rnacentral:rRNA from 1 species
GAUGAACGCUGGCGGCGUGCCUAAUACAUGCAAGUCGAGCGAACAGACGAGGAGCUUGCUCCUCUGACGUUAGCGGCGGACGGGUGAGUAACACGUGGAUAACCUACCUAUAAGACUGGGAUAACUUCGGGAAACCGGAGCUAAGACCGGAUAAUAUAUUGAACCGCAUGGUUCAAUAGUGAAAGGUGGUUUUGGUGUGACUUAUAGAUGGAUCCGCGCCGCAUUAGCUAGUUGGUAAGGUAACGGCUUACCAAGGCAACGAUGCGUAGCCGACCUGGGAGGGUGAUCGGCCCCACUGGAACUGAGACACGUUCCAGACUCCUACGCGAGGCAGCAGUAGGGAAGCUUCCGCAAUGGGCGAAAGCCUGACGGAGCAACGCCCCGUGAGUGAUGAAGGUCUUCGGAUCGUAAAACUCUGUUAUUAGGGAAGAACAAAUGUGUAAGUAACUAUGCACGUCUUGACGGUACCUAAUCAGAAAGCCACGGCUAACUACGUG